CCUGGAGCACGGCGUGCUGAUGCGCCACAUGCUGCACCGCGUGCACACCAUCCCCACGCUGUUCGAGCGCCAGUCCCGCCAGUCCGCCGCGCAUUCCAGGUCUCCGCCGACGGGGCUGUCCCCGCGCUUCUCCGUGGGCUUGGACGGGGAGGACCAGUGCGGCCUCGGAUGCCCCGCUCUCUCAGACGACGAGGACGCUGCCGACGUGAAGGUUUUGGAGGCCGCCCUGCACAGGGGGCCGAGGCAGUCGCGGCCCUGCAGUGCGGACGCCAGGCCCGCGAGGCCCGCCAGGGCGUGGAGCCCCGCGGCGAAGGAC